GGACCAAAUACGACCGACCAGAACCGAUCGAGGGUUCUCUAUCCACAUAUUUGAAAUACGCUCUUUUCUCUCCCUCUCCCUCUCCCUCUCAGUGUUCUCUGAUCUCUCUCUCCUCUCUCACUUCGCUUAUCUCUCUCGCCCGAGGCUCUCAGUUUUACGAAUCGAACUUCACCCGAAGCGAUCUCUUUGAUUCGAACCUCACCUCACGACGUUGGGGUUUUUUAUGCUGGUUUUUUUGGGGCCCUCUGAUUUCUCUCGCCCGAAACGAAGAUCAGGCCCCCAGCACCUCAGUACCUUCAUCCAUGGCGGCAUCUUGCCAAAUCUUACGCUCUUCUUCAACAUCUCCAAGUGUCAAAUCUGUCCUGACUCAAACCUUUCGCUUCAAGACCACAUCAACGACGCCCUCUCACCAUAAUCAACACCAGCUUGAGCAAGAGUUUACGAAGCCCAAUGAGUUCUUAGGGUGCUGGAAAGCUCCCAAGGAUCCAAAGGAAGCAGAGGCGAAUCUAGGGCAGUUGAGGAGAGAGUACGCGAAGCAGGUUAAGGAGCUUCGCAAGCAGUAUAUCUAUGAGAUGGAAUUGCAGAAGCAGGAGAAACACUUGAAGGACGAAGCCAAGCGAGAGGCUGUUCGUAUUGCCAGGGAGGAGCGAAAGGCUGCCAAGGCUGCUAUGGCUCAGGUUCGAGCUGCUGAGCGGAAGGUCCUCGAAGAGGAGUUCCGUCAAACCCUUUUGAAAGAAAGAGCAGAGAAGUUGGAAUGUUGGAGAUCAAGAGAAAAACGAAUAGAGGAAAAAAAGAAGGAAAAGAAGGAGCUUUUGCAUCGGCAGAGUUCCAUGUGGAUUGGUGAACAAGAGCUGGAGAAGAAAAUUUUGGAGGCCCUUGUUGUUACCACCCCUCUCUAAGUCCAUACGUUUCUAUACUUGAUUUUCUCCCAACAUUAAAGAGUUGAGAGCCAAUCAAAUGAAAUAAGAGGAUAUGGCAAGAAUAUCCUCUUAGCAACUCACACAUGGAUAGGGAUUGGAAGUAUUCUGUUCUUAAACCUAGGGUUUCAGCAGCCAGAAUCCUCUUUGCAAAAUUCCACACAGCUGGAGAAAGAAGAAACUGGAGAAGCAACUCGACCUAAUCCUUGAUACAGCAAAAGGAUCCUGCAUUGUUCUUCUCAAGGGAGAACUCCACUGCUCAUCUCUGCUCGACUCUGCUCGCCGAUCACGUCUUCUCAGAUCUCAUCUGUGAAGACUAGAUUUUGAACCUGAUCUCUGCUCGUUUUUGCUCAAACAGGUACGCAUAUCUUGGAGCCGUUUGUGGGUUUUUGUUGAUUGGGUUUUCUAAUAGCGGAUUGAACCCUACUCCUUGACACAACAGGUACGAUUUCUUCUUCUUCGUUUUGUUGAUUGGGUUUUCUACCCGUUUAUGGGUAUUUGCCGAUUAGGGAUUAAGGCUCGAACUAACAACCUUAGAGAACUAUGUUCAGAGAACCUUUGGGUUUUCUAUCUUGUUCCUAUUGAAUUAAUCUCUUUCUUCAUUAAGAAUCAACGACAGUAAUUGGGGUGCUUGAAAUCCAUCCAUAAGGUGAAAAAAAAAAAUUAAGUGAUGACAACAAUUCUAAUGCAAAAGUACACGGAUUUAAAACUUUACGAAGAGUGGUCACUGGUGCUGUUCUUCGUUUGAGCUUCAUGUUGGAUGCUUUCCAUCUCGGUGAAACAAGAUUUUCAGCACAGGUUUGGGCUUCUUCAUUGAUUAACAAUCGUGGGAGUUUUCUCUUUUAUUUCGAUUAUAUAGAGAUAUAAAAUCAUUUCCAGAUUUGUGUCUUUCUCAUCUUCUCUAUUCUUCAUCGCAUUGCCUACUCACUUUCAUGUUAAUUGGUUUGGAUAAAGGGUUUGACCUUUUACUGCCAUUGGUUUCUCUCCCUGUGGGUAUUGCUGCAUUAUGAUGAUGAAGUUUGAUUACAAAAAAAGUUCUUGAACUGUUCGAUGAAAUGCAUGAGAGGAAUUUUUUUUGCAGUCAUAAUUUACGAUUUGUCUAGAGCAGCAAUACCUGUUUUGGUUGUUGCAAUAUUUCAAUUCGACAAAUAGAGAGGGAGAAUAUUUCCAAUGAAGUCUGAAAAGCAAUACCUCAAUUUUCUAUUAUGAAAUUUCCCCCCUUUUUUCCCAAGUGCAACCGAAUGCCUAUAAGCAAACGCAGCCAAAAAGCAUUAACAGGGUUAGUAGAAGAGAAAUCAACUUGAAGGUUAGUUACAAUUCACAUAUCAAACCUGGCACAGAGACUUGGCAUGGAUUGUAUAAUUAAUGAAGCCAAUUGGCACUCCGGUAAACAAUGAAAGCUGAAAGAAAUGCAAGGAAGAUUUGAGGCAACUGCUAGAGACCCAUCCAGCAGGAAUAUAGAAUACCAAACCCAACAGUUGCAACAAGAGAAAUUAGCACAUCAGUUUUUAGGUGCUAGCUUCAGGCUUUCAGCACCAUUGUUGUCAUCGGUAUAAACGUGAAGAGUUCAAUUUCAGUAAAAAUCAAUGACAAAACUUAAUCCCAUGGAUGGUUCAAUUUCAGAUCAUCAUUUUAGUGCAUCAAAACUUAUUCUAAGUUUCCUUUGAAUUUCAUCAUUAGGAAUUCUUUUCAAUUUCUCUAAUGCACUCUUUAUAUUCAAGAAUGCUUUAAUUAAAUAGAAAAGAACCUAAAACCUCAAGAGCUAAAGGAAGUCCAUUGACAUAACCAACUAUACUCUUUAAGAGAGAAAAGUAAAGUACAUGUUAAGAGAAGAGGUAAAUCACUCUCAAGGCCAAUACCCAAGAUUGAACCAUUUAGCUUGAUGGAUACUAGAUUGGAAGAUCUUUGUCUUAUGCCUCUAUAUUACUUUUUGUUUUUUUAGUACAAGAAAUUGUAAUUAUGGGAAACUUUCCAAAGUUGAUUUUGCAUGCAUGUAAGUUUUAUUUACAAAUGUUUGUAUCAUAUUCAGAAGAUAAGCUUUGUUAUUUCUUUUUUUAGUGCAUUGUCUUUAUUAUUCAGAAUGAAUUAGAAAAGGAAACAUUAUUAGUUAAGCUAAUUGAUGACAAUUGAAUUAAAGUUUGAGAUACAUAUUGGGCUUUCUAUCUCAAAAUUGCAUUGAUUUUAUAAUCUUGUAUUAUUGAAGAAUGUAUAAUAACCCAGUAUGCUAACUUUUUACGCUAACUUAUAAUAUCUAGCUAUUAUGUCUAGAAGUAGUAUCCUUGCCGUUAAGUGGUCAGAACUUGAGACCACUGUUUUCAUUGAGGCGAUGAAAGAAGCUAUAAAAAAUGGUCACAAAUCCGGUAAUUCAUUUAACAAAAUUGGAUGGGAGGACAUUACAAAGCAAUUUCAGAAGGCUUUAAAUCGUACGGUUGGGAGAGAACAAUUACGCAACAAGAUGAACAAGUUGAAACACGAGUACCAACAAUUCAAGAGAAUACUUGACACAAUUGGAUUUGGGUGGAACUCAAUGACAAAAUUAGUCACAGUUGAUGAUGAGUCCGUAUGGGAUAGGACAAUACAGGUAAAUCCAGGAUGGUUGAAAUACAAGGAGUAUGGACUAAACAAUUGGUCAGAUUUGAGCAUGAUAUUUGGGGAUACAUAUGCUUGAGGAAAUUUAGGGGUUGACAGUGCACAAGAUUUGGAUGACAUUGAAGCUGAUAAUACUGUUGAUAUUGAGCAAGUCUUUGAAUCUCCUAGUACCCCGGUGCAUUUAGGCAUGACUGACCCCUUCCAUGAGGAUACUCUUACUCCAACUCAGACCACCACAAAGCGAAAUCUUGAUAGGACACCCACGGGACUAAGAAAAAAGAGCGCCAAUAAGGGAGAUAACCACGUCAAGGACUUGUAUGGGAAGUAUUUAUCCAUUAAAAUUGAGAAAGCAUCAAAUACUUCCGUUACAUCUCCUGUUAGUGGUGGGGAAGGUGCAUCUCGUCCUCGAAAUUUCAGUGUGAGUGCAUGUGAGGCGGUAUUAUCCUCCAUACUAGACAUGCCAUUUUUCAAGUGUCAAGAUUCAUGUAAUUUUUUCAUGUGGGUGGACCAACUACAUCUAUGUAGAUGUGGUAAAGGUCAAUGCAAAGUAUGAACUACGACGAAAGGUCCAAACAAGGGAUAGUAUUUUCUAUGUUGCUCAAAUUCAACUGGGAUAAUUUAUUUCUAUGAUUGAUCUA